GAACCUGGAAGACAGAGACAGCACAGCACUGCUCCACUAUCCAGGAAGCUUCCUCUGGUGUCUUGGUGCCAAGAUUCAAUGAGUGGGGGCUUUCUGCAGGCACUCUACCAGUUCCUGCUGCCCUGGACAAGAAGGACCCUGCAGAACACAAGGAGGUGGCAGUUAGAGAGCAGAAGGGGAGAGAAGGAAGUGCUGUGGAGCAUGGGAAGGGACCAUCAUUUCAGCAAGUGGAGCUUGAAGAAAUCCUGUGAAGUGAGAUCAGCCAGAAAGAGAAGGAUGAACAUAGGAUGAUCUUGCUCAUGGAUAGAAGUGGAGAAACAAGAACAGAAGGGAAAACACGAAGCAGAGCUGGGACUGGGUUUGGCGUAUUGCACCAGAAUAGGAGCCUAUGUGGGGAAGAGGGAGUUCUCAUAUCCUGGUGAAAGGAGGUGGAGGAAGAACCUAGGCUGGGGAGAGAAUAUUCUGCACAAAAAUGAGAAAUUUCAACUGUGUUUACUGCAAACCAUUAAUCCCCCCAAUAAGAUGUAUUUGUAAAUAUACUGGUUUUUAAAAUAUCUAUUUAUUUAUUACUGGAUAGAGACAGAAAUUGAGGGGGGGGAGAUAGGAAUGGAGAGAGACACCUGUAGCCCUGCUUCACCACUCAUGAAGCUUUCCCCCUGCAGGUGGGGACCAGGGACUUGAACCUGGGUUCUUGUGCACUGUCAUGUGUGUGCUCAACCAGAUGUGCC